UACAGAGGUCUCAAGCGUUGUUCGGAUUCAUUGGGCGUAAAGGGUGCGUAGGUGGCGGGGUAAGUCAGGUGUGAAAUCUCGGGGCUCAACCCCGAAACUGCACUUGAUACUGCCUUGCUCGAGUACUGGAGAGGAGAUUGGAAUUUACGGUGUAGCAGUGAAAUGCGUAGAUAUCGAGAGGAACACCUGCGGCGAAGGCGGGUUGCUGGGCUGAUACUGACGCUGAUGCGCGAAAGCCAGGGGAGCGAACGGG
rnacentral:rRNA from 1 species